AGUGAACGCUGGCGGUAGGCCUAACACAUGCAAGUCGAACGGCAGCACAGUAAGGGCUUGCUCUUACGGGUGGCGAGUGGCGGACGGGUGUGGAAUACAUCGGAAUCUCCUUUUUCGUGGGGGAUAACGUAGGGAAACUUACGCUAAUACGGCAUACGACCUACGGGUGAACGCAGGGUAUCUUCGGUCCUUGGGCGAUUGAAUGAGCCGAUGUCGGAUUAUCUAGUUGGCGGGGUAGAGGCCCACCAGAGCGACGGUCCUUAGCUGGUCUGAGAGGAUGAUCAGCUACACUGGAACUGAGAAACGGUACACACUCCUACGGGAGGCAGCAGUGGGGAAUAUUGGACGAUGGGCGCAAGCCUGAUCCAGCCAUACCGCGUGAGUGAAGAAGGCCUUCUGGUUGUAAAGCCAUUUUGUUGUGAAAGAAAAGCAGCACGUUAACACCCCGCUGUUCUGACGGUACCCAAAGAAUAAGCACCGGCUAACUUCGUG
rnacentral:rRNA from 1 species